rnacentral:rRNA from 1 species
AUUGAACGCUGGCGGCAUGCUUUACACAUGCAAGUCGAACGGCAGCACGGGGGCAACCCUGGUGGCGAGUGGCGAACGGGUGAGUAAUAUAUCGGAACGUACCCGGAAAUGGGGGAUAACGUAGCGAAAGUUACGCUAAUACCGCAUAUGCCCUAAGGGGGAAAGCGGGGGACUCGCAAGAACCUCGCGUUUUCGGAGCGGCCGAUAUCGGAUUAGCUAGUAGGUGAGGUAAAGGCUCACCUAGGCGACGAUCCGUAGCUAGGUCUGAGAGGACGACCAGCCACACUGGAACUGAGACACGGUCCAGACUCUACGGAGGCAGCA